UUAUGUGCUAUAUACACUAAUCCAUUCCCAAUCUUUUGCAGCCUGCGGCGUACUUACAAGUCAAUAUUUAGUAACGGCGCCCUACUUUACCUAGCUUUUA